UGGGGAAUAUUGCACAAUGGGCGCAAGCCUGAUGCAGCCAUGCCGCGUGUGUGAAGAAGGCCUUCGGGUUGUAAAGCACUUUCAGCGAGGAGGAAGGUGGUGAGCUUAAUACGCUCAUCAAUUGACGUUACUCGCAGAAGAAGCACCGGCUAACUCCGUGCCAGCAGCCGCGGUAAUACGGAGGGUGCAAGCGUUAAUCGGAAUUACUGGGCGUAAAGCGCACGCAGGCGGUUUGUUAAGUCAGAUGUGAAAUCCCCGGGCUCAACCUGGGAACUGCAUUUGAAACUGGCAAGCUAGAGUCUCGUAGAGGGGGGUAGAAUUCCAGGUGUAGCGGUGAAAUGCGUAGAGAUCUGGAGGAAUACCGGUGGCGAAGGCGGCCCCCCUGGACGAAGACUGACGCUCAGGUGCGAAAGCGUGGGGCAGCAAACAGGAUUAGAUACCCUGGUAGUCCAGCGCUGUAAACGAUGUCGAUUUGGAGGUUGUGCCCUUGAGGCGUGGCUUCCGGAGCUAACGCGUUAAAUCGACCGCCUGGGGAGUACGGCCGCAAGGUUAAAACUUAAAUGAAUUGACGGGGUCAU
rnacentral:rRNA from 1 species